rnacentral:tRNA from 1 species
GAAGUAUAAUUAAAAGAACUUCUAAUUCUUCCAAUAAUAAUGUAAUUAUUAAUAUUUCU